rnacentral:lncRNA from 1 species
GUUUGUAGUAUCAAUAUAUUUCAUAUUAAAUUAUAAACAUAAUUAAAAUGAACAAAAGAAAUAACCUGUUGUGUUUUAAAGAAUUGAUGAAUUAAAGUAUGGUGUGAGCCUCAAUAAGACAGUAACCCUUCAAUGAAAGUACACAAUCACACUUAAAAAAUCAUUAAUGCAGGAAAAAAAGACAACACUAUAAAGAAUUUAGACCCCCUUAACAGAUUUAUUUUUCUUGUUAAUAGUGACUUGAAAAUAGAAUUGUAUUAGUGCUAGAAUUUUUCAGUCAAUGAGUGCCA